ensembl:snRNA U6 U6 spliceosomal RNA
GUGCUCGCUUCAACAGCACAUGUCCUAGCAUUGGAAUGAUACAGACAUUAGCGUGGCCCGUGUGCAAGGAGGACACGCUAAUUUGUGAAGGCAUCACGAGUAAU